AGUGAACGCUGGCGGUAUGCUUAACACAUGCAAGUCGAACGGCAGCACAGUAAGAGCUUGCUCUUACCGGUUGCGGGUGGCGGACGGGUGAGGAAUACAUCGUACUCUACUUUUUCGUGGGGGAUCACGUAGGGAAACUUACUCUCAUACCGCAUACGCCCUACCGUUGUAAGCGGGGGAUCUUCUCACCUUGUGCGGUUGGAUGCGCCGAUGUUGGGUUAGCUAGUUGGCGGGGUAAAGGCCCAGCAUGGCGCGGAUACGUAGCUGGUCUGAGUGGCGGGUCAGCCGCACUGGAACUGGAACACGGUCCAGACUCCUGCGGGAGGCAGCAGUGGGGAAUAUGGGACAAUGGGCGCAAGCCUGAUCCAGCCAUCGCGCGUGUGUGAAGAAGGCCUUCGGGGUGGGAUGCCCGUUUGUGGGGAAAGAAAAGCAGCAGGUUAAUACCCCGCGGUACUGACGGUACCCGAAGAAUAAGCACCGGCUAACUUCGUG
rnacentral:rRNA from 1 species